rfam:Egretta garzetta contig77353, whole genome shotgun sequence.
CCAGAUGGUUUUGCUUCAGAUCAUAUAAAUCUUUCACCUUUUACUGAAGAUUUCUAUGGAGAGGAACAGGCACAAGCAUUUUUUUUUUUUUUUGGUCAAGUCCCCAUCCCUGGAGGUA